AGCGAACGCUGGCGGCAGGCCUAACACAUGCAAGUCGAACGGACCCUUCGGGGUUAGUGGCGGACGGGUGAGCAACACGUGGGAACGUGCCUUUAGGUUCGGAAUAGCUCCUGGAAACGGGUGGUAAUGCCGAAUGUGCCCUUCGGGGGAAAGAUUUAUCGCCUUUAGAGCGGCCCGCGUCUGAUUAGCUAGUUGGUGAGGUAAUGGCUCACCAAGGCGACGAUCAGUAGCUGGUCUGAGAGGAUGACCAGCCACAUUGGGACUGAGACACGGCCCAAACUCCUACGGGAGGCAGCAGUGGGGAAUCUUGCGCAAUGGGCGAAAGCCUGACGCAGCCAUGCCGCGUGGAUGAUGAAGGUCUUAGGAUUGUAAAAUCCUUUCACCGGUGAAGAUAAUGACUGUAGCCGGAGAAGAAGCCCCGGCUAACUUCGUGCCAGCAGCCGCCGUAA
rnacentral:rRNA from 1 species